ACACCAUUCGAUUUAAAAAGCCAUGAAAUAAAAUGAACGAUUGGAUUUAAAACAGGCUGGCAGAUAUCAACCUGGCUGCCGUCAGAUGAAAAUAUAUAUAUUUUUAAUUUCUUCUUAAAAAGAAAAAAGAAUAAGAAACAAUCUCUGGACUUCUGGAGACUUCCAUACACAGAACGACUGGUUGAGAACUCUUCCUUAUAUAGCACUUCUCAACUCAGCCAACUCUUUCUUCAUCUUUCUCCUCGUGUCAAUCUCAGAAUUUUGUAGAAGCGUUAGAAUCUCGAUCAAGCGAACGCGGUAAUCAAAGAGCAAAAGAUCGCGAAAGGGCUCAAGCUAGGGCAGGUCAAAAGCCCAAGAAUCCCAAAAACGAUGGAUUGACCCCCGAACAACGCCGAGAAA